AAUACCUUUAAGAUAGUCCGGAGAGGCUAAAAAGGUAGGUAGUUAAUUAUGCCUAAUUGUAGACCUUUGCCGGACGGCAAAGGUCUUUUUUGU
rfam:Megasphaera sp. TPII 135-E contig00032, whole genome shotgun sequence.